CGGCUCAGUAACACGUGGAUAACCUACCCUCAGAUCUGGGAUAACUCCGGGAAACUGGAGAUAAUACCGGAUAAUCCGUGAACGCUGGAAUGCCUUACGGUUGAAAGCUUUAGCGUCUGAGGAUGGGUCUGCGGCCGAUUAGGUAGUUGCUGGGGUAACGUCCCAACAAGCCGAUAAUCGGUACGGGUUGUGAGAGCAAGAGCCCGGAGAUGGACCCUGAGACACGAAUCCAGGUCCUACGGGGCGCAGCAGGCGCGAAAACUUUACACUGCGCGAAAGCGCGAUAAGGGGACCUCGAGUGCGUGCGCAAAGCGUACGCUUUUCAGAUGCCUAAAAAGCAUCUGGAAUAAGGGCCGGGCAAGACCGGUGCCAGCCGCCGCGGUAACACCGGCGGCUCAAGUGGUGGCCGCUAUUAUUGGGCUUAAAGGGUCCGUAGCCGGACCAGUUAGUCCCUUGGGAAAUCUUACGGCUUAACCGUAAGGCUGCCAAUGGAUACUGCUGGUCUUGGGACCGGGAGAGGCAAGAGGUACCUCAGGGGUAGGAGUGAAAUCCUGUAAUCCUUGAGGGACCGCCAGUGGCGAAGGCGUCUUGCUAGAACGGGUCCGACGGUGAGGGACGAAAGCUAGGGGCACGAACCGGA
rnacentral:rRNA from 1 species